rnacentral:rRNA from 1 species
AACGCGAAGAACCUUACCGAGGCUUGACAUCCCGCGAAAUCCCAUGAAAGUGGGCUUCCCCGCAAGGGGACGCGGAGACAGGUGCUGCAUGGCUGUCGUCAGCUCGUGCCGUGAGGUGUUGGGUUAAGUCCCGCAACGAGCGCAACCCUCGUCGUGUGUUGGUCCGCAAGGAUCUCUCACGCGAGACCGCCGAUGAGAAGUCGGAGGAAGGUGGGGAUGACGUCAAGUCAGCAUGGCCCUUACGUCUCGGGCUACACACGUGCUACAAUGGGUAGGACAACGGGCUGCGAGCUAGUGAUAGUAAGCUAAUCCCUUAAACCUGCCCUCAGUUCGGAUUGAAGGCUGCAACUCGCCUUCAUGAAGUCGGAAUCGCUAGUAAACGCAGAUCAGCUACGCUGCGUUGAAUACGUUCCCGGGCCUUGUACACACCGCUACAGU